CCCUCGAUAGCUCAGUUGGAAGAGCAUGAGACUGUAAAUCUCAGGGUCAUCGGUUUGAUCCCGAUUCGAGGGA